UUUUUUUUUUUUUUUUUUGGAUAAUUAUUUGAGUAGUUAUAUAAAAAUGUAUCACAGUAUAAAGAAUGUGUUCUUAGUUUAGACUUAGUAACUAUCUUGAAAUAUAUGUGUCUGUGCCUAUAUAUGUAUUUUAAAAGUAAUUUCCUGUCAUCUCUUAGUUAUUUAAGGUAGGUUGUGGUAAAUAUAUUUGGCUAAGUCUGAAGGUAGGGAAGAAAAAUUAGAAAAUAUGACUAAAAAGGCAAAGGAUUUCAGUGUUAAGAAGUGUGGAUUUCUGAAAAUCUGCAAAGUGAAGACGAAUGUUUUCCUUCAUGUGUCAGAAGAGAGUAGAAGCCAGAGCAGCUGUGUGAUUUUUGAAUGAUAUUGAUAACUAGAAAGAAUGCUGUGGCCAUAAGAACAUCAGGUCAAGUUUUUUGUAAUAGUUUGUAGUUGAGACUAAAUUUAAAGAAUUUUAAUAUGCUGGUCCUAUAAAACUGAGAAGACUAAAUUUUGAGAGGAUUUGUGUGGGUAGCCAGUUACAUUAUAUAUUAGAAAUAGACUCGGAACCUUGUUGCUAAACAAAGCUAGUUUCUGUAGUGGAGCUGAAAGGGUCCUGUUGCUUUUCUGACUCAAGUCGAAGUCUCCACUUAAGCCUUUUCUCUGUCUGUGGACUCUUUUCCUUUCACCCUCACCUGGGCCUGGCUAAGAAAGAUAAUGGUGACUUAGCACAGCUGCUUAUCAGAAGAGAAAGUAUGUGCCAAGAGAAUCUUGACUCCCUAAAAAUAAAGUUUGGACACAUCUGCUUUGCAAUUUUCUGGUCCAUGUAGUCUUUGAUUUUUGGGAAAUAUGUAACAAAACCAUGAGCCUUAAUAGAUACUUAGUGCAAUCAAUUGUAUAUAAGGAGUUUGAAAUGACUACUUGAAUGUUUUAUUUUUAGUUGUAUCCCUUUAUUCCUUACUAUCAAAGUUACUUUUUUUUUUAAAGAUAAAGGAAGGCAAAAAGUUGGGAGAAAAGGCACUAGGAGGAGUUGGAGUGAGGAGGUGGAAUAUGAUCAAAUUGUAUAAACAUUUGAAAUUUUAAAAAGUAAAAGAAAUUUAUAACAGAAUUACAAAAGUCUACACAUUUUUUUGGGGGGGGGUUGGUUUUUUGAGAGACCCUGUCUCUGUGUAGCCCUGGCUGUCCUGGAACUCACUUUGUAGACCAGGUUGGCCUCGAACUCAAAAAUCCUCCUGCCUCUGCCUCCCAAGUGCUGGGAUUAAAGGCGCCCGGCCACAUCUUUUGUUUGAGACAAGGUCUCUAUGUAGUCUUGGCUGUCCUGGAGAUCCUCCUACCUCUGCUUUCUGAGUGCUGGGAUUAUAAGUGUGCACCAAUUAAAUUGUUUUUAGACAAGACUUCUCUUUGUAGCUCUGGGUGUCUUGGGACUUGCUCUGUAGACCAGGCUGGCCUUGAACUCUAGACCAGGCUGUCUCAGCCUCCUAAGUGCUGCCCUUAAAGGCAUGAGCUACUACCAUCCAAACCAAUGAAGUUUUAAAAAUUUUAAAGUGUAUGUAUGUGGGGAGCACAAGUUAGAGGACAACUUUCAGGAAUUGGCUUUUCCCCACUUUUAUUGUAGACUGGGGAUUGAACUUGGGUCAUCAAGUGCAUUUGCUCUGAGUUGCCCUCUGUGUCGUUGUAUUCAAUGCUUUCUCUGUUAAGACAACAACUCAUGCUUUGCAAGUUGGUUUCCAACUCACUGUGUAGUCUAGAUAGCUUUGAGCUUCUGCUCUGUCAGUGCCCGAAUGCUAGGUUUAUGUGGUUUAUGUGGCGCUGGGGGUGCUGUGUGUGCUAGACAAGCACUAUGAGUGGACUAUACUCCUAACUCCAUUGUGUACUGCUGCUAAAAUAACUUAUUUUUCUAUACAGUUAGUAAAAUUUUUUCUUUUCUUUCCUAGCAGAAAUCCUAAAAUUCCAUCAGAAUGACACCUUCUCAGGUCACUUUUGAAAUAAGAGGAACUCUUUUACCAGGUAAACUAAAGCUUUACUUUAUAAAAUACUCUUUAAAGUAGACAUUUUUUUCUUUGCCAGAUGUUUUUAAAAUUAGUCAUUUGAAAAGCUCCCCAGCCCUAGUGUGUGUAACGUGUAUCCUUAAUGUGUGGAAGCCUGUAGUCAAGCUUGAGCCUCUGAAGAGCAUCCAGUGCUCCUAACUCGAGCCAUCUCUCCAGAGCCUUCACCCUUCUUUAUCACGGCAAAAAUCAUGUCUGCCUCAGGAAUGUCCUUUUUGGUAUUGUAAGCAUUGUCCAUCGCUGUACUUUCUUUUCAGGUAAUACCUAUGCUCUUAUUGGCAUCCACAGAAAAGAAUCCAGAAGCCUGAAUUGUUUUCUGUCACACAGGUCAUGCCAAUUUGGUGCAGUCCUGUGUUUGCCUUCUCUUUCCAAAAUGUCACAAAGACCUUGUCUUUUUAAAUGUUAUCUUGUCUACCUCUUUUAAAAGACAGGGUCUUACUUUGUAUUCCCGGCUAGCCUGAGGAUUUCCUCAGAAAUCCUCCACUCAUUUUAAAUUCUGAUGCCAGUACUACCAGCUAUCCUAAUUGAAGCCUGAUACCUUAUUUUCUAGUCCAAGGGUGUGCUGGUCCACACCUGUGUACAUGUGUUGGUUCAGUCACACUUCCUCUUGGGCCCAAUUUUCAAAUGCCUUGUAUGUCAGACACGUACUUCAAGAGUGCACCCACCCCUCAAGGUAUCUUUUAUUGCUGUUAAGAAAACAACUCACUGGGCAUUGUGGCUCACACCUUUAAUCCCAGCACUCAGGAGGCAGAGGCAGGCAGAUUUCAGCCUGCCUGGUUUACAGAGUGAGUUCCAGGACAGCCAGGGCUAUACAGAGAAACCCUGUCUC
rnacentral:lncRNA from 1 species